AUUUUUAAGAGGCUCAAUUGGAAAAAAUUCAUCAACUCAGUGCACCAGACAACAAAUUAGACGGAAGUAUCACAUAUGAACUUAAUCCAAACUGCUAUAAGAGGUGAAAUACUAGCAGAAUGUAGCAUAGCAUAUCUUAAUUCACCCUUUGUUGAACAAGAACAUGGAUAAUAUCUGUAGAAUUAUAGCGUAAAGUUAGUGAGGAAUUGUAGGGAUUUGUUACAGUUAUUUUUGGUAUCUUGUUCCUAGUUUAGUGCCAUUCCUUGAUUUGUGGAGAUCCACUCCUCAAUUAGGGCUGAUUGAGUCCAGAUUUUAUAAUGGCGGAUUCCUCCAUCAUACCUUGUUGUACUUGUCAAAAAAAUGUGAGAAUUCAAUCUUUUUUCUCAGAAAUUCACAUGGUAUCAGAGCCUACCCUCUGAACCCUAAUUUCCCACAUCACAAAAUUUGUUAUGGAUGUUGAGAGACAAAACUCGAUGUCUGAAGUGACCUCUAAUCCAGAAACGACAUCAGUGAUGAACAAUCAUGGAGGAGCCGAAAAUCCGUCUCUGCUCGUUACAGGCCACAAACUCAACCGCCAUAAUUUUCUCCAGUGGUCUCAGUUAGUGAUGAUGUAUGUCUGUGGAAAAGGGAAGGAUGAAUAUCUCACUGGUGAAGCCACCAUCCCUGAGAAGACCGAUCCAAAAUUCAGAAUAUGGAAAGCCGAGAAUCACAUGUUGAUAUCUUGGUUGAUUAAUUCAAUGGAAAACGACAUAGGAGAGAAUUUUCUCCCCUUUGGGACUGCCAAAGAAAUUUGGGAUGCUGUAAAGGAGACAUACUCAAGUUCUGAAAACACAUCAGAAAUAUUUGAGAUUGAAUCCACCCUACACGACCUUCGACAGGGAGAUCUCUCCGUUACCCAAUAUUUCAACACCCUUUCUCGUCAUUGGCAGCAGCUAGACAUGUUUGAAGUUCAUGCCUGGAAGUGCCCUGAAGAUACCAUGCUGUAUCGGAAAAUUGUGGAAAAGAAGCGGACAUUGAAAUUUCUUCUUGGCCUCAACAAGAAUUUGGAUGAGGUCAGAGGGAGAGUAAUGAGCACCAAACCUCUUCCAAGCAUUAAAGAGGCCUUCUCAGAAGUUCGCCGUGAGGAAAGUAGGAAAAAGAUUAUGAUGGGAUCUGAAAAUUCUGCUCCAUCUCUCGAAGGAUCUGCUCUUGCAGCGCGAGGCCCUCCAUCGAACACCAAUGGUGAAAAUCGUCAGAGAAAGGGAAGACUUUGGUGUGACUACUGUUGAAAAUUAGGACAUCACAGAAAAAAUUGUUGGAAACUUCAUGCAAACCAGCUGAUUGGAAGCCAUCUAAACCAGCCUAUGAUAGAGAAGGUCGUGCCCAUAAUGUUACUGCAAUAGAAGAAAUGACAACCUUAGCUGAAACCAAUCCUUUCACCAAAGAACAGCUUGAGAUGCUCCAGAAACUACUAAGUCCAAACUCCCCAUCUCAGUCAAGUAACUCAACCUCUGGAACAGGCAUGUUAGCACAAAGAGGUAAUGUUUCAAAUGCCUUUACAAUAAAUAAAAAAGGGACUCAAUCCAUGGAUUAUCGACUCCGGAGCCUCAGACCACAUGACAGGAGAUGGAACCUUAUUUCAUGAAUACAGCCCUUGUAAUGAGAAAUACACAGUUCGGAUUGCUGAUGGGUCUUUAUCUAAAGUUGCUGGAAUAGGCUCAAUCAGGGUUAUAAAUGACCCGAUCUUAAACUCUCUUCUACAUGUUCCUAAUUUGGAUUGUAAUUUACUAUCAAUCAGCAAACUAACUCGUGAUCUCCAGUGUGAAGCUAAGUUUUUCUCAAACUAGUGUGAAUUUCAGGAACUAGAUUCGGGGAGGAUGAUUGGUAGUGCUGAGAUGUGUUCUGGACUCUUAUCUUCUCAAUGGUAAUACUUCUCUAAGAAGACAAGCUCAAAAUGUAAGUUGUGUUUCGUUUAAAAGUCAGUCAAUUUUAAAUUCCUAUGUCAAUAAGGAUAAUGCGGUCAUGUUACGGCAUUUUCGUCUUGGUCAUCCAAAUUUCAUGUACCUUAAAAAAUUGUUUCCAUCAUUGUUCAUCAAUAAAAGUCCAAAUCAUUUUAGUUGUGAAAUCUGCCAAUUUGCAAAACACACUCGAAGUAAUUACCCCAAUCUAUCAUAUACGCCAUCUCAACCAUUUACAAUCAUUCAUAGCGAUGUCUGGGGACCCUCAAGAGUAAAAAAUAUAAUUGGAGCAUGAUGGUUUGUAUCAUUUGUUGAUGAUCACACUAGAUUGACCUGGGUAUUCCUAAUGAAAGAAAAAUCUGAAGUUGGCCAAAUUUUUCAAAACUUCAAUUCCAUGAUCCAAACUCAAUUCCAGACCAAAAUCAAAGUUCUCAAAACUGAUAAUGCCAAAGAGUACUACAAUUCUACUUUGGGUGGUUACCUCUUAAGUCAGGGAAUAAUACACCUAAAUUCCCACAUUGACACCCCUCAACAAAAUGGGGUUGCAGAAAGGAAAAACCGGCAUUUGUUAGAGGUAGCUAGGUGUCUCAUGUUUUCCACUCAUGUUUCUAAGCAUUUUUGGGGAGAGACUGUACUUACAGCCACAUACCACAUCAAUAGAAUGCCCUCCAGGAUUCUUAAAUUCCAAACUCCUUGUCAAUUCCUUAUCCAGAUCUUUC
rnacentral:lncRNA from 1 species